GUGGUGUGAUGAACUUGUUUAUCCAUUCUCUGAGCUCUGAUUGGCUGCUGCUCGUUGUCACGGCGACGCUCCCGUUCUGGGGGCGUGGCCUGUCCGCACGGUAUUCGGCGUCUGUCGGCGUUCUGUCGAGAGGCGUCCGGCGCCGUGCGGACACACGAAGCUCUGCCUCCGAGCGAAGACGAGACAAACAGAUCUGAUCAC
rnacentral:snoRNA from 1 species